rnacentral:rRNA from 1 species
CCUACGGGUGGCAGCAGUGGGGAAUAUUGGACAAUGGGCGAAAGCCUGAUCCAGCCAUGCCGCGUGUGUGAAGAAGGCCUUCGGGUUGUAAAGCACUUUCAGUGGGGAAGAAAGCCUUGGGGCUAAUACCCUCGAGGAAGGACAUCACCCACAGAAGAAGCACCGGCUAACUCCGUGCCAGCAGCCGCGGUAAUACGGAGGGUGCGAGCGUUAAUCGGAAUUACUGGGCGUAAAGCGCGCGUAGGCGGUCUGAUAAGCCGGUUGUGAAAGCCCCGGGCUCAACCUGGGAACGGCAUCCGGAACUGUCAGGCUAGGGGGCAGGAGAGGAAGGUAGAAUUCCCGGUGUAGCGGUGAAAUGCGUAGAGAUCGGGAGGAAUACCAGUGGCGAAGGCGGCCUUCUGGACUGACACUGACGCUGAGGUGCGAAAGCGUGGGUAGCAAACAGGAUUAGAUACCCGGGUAGC